CUUCAAGCUUUAAUACCGACUGAUGGUGAAAGACAGGCCAAAAGGACUUCUUUCAGAUACAUGACGCAGAGGACAAGACCCACAGAGUCUCUAUGACUAUUUUUCUCUCCUUUUCCGAGUGGCCGCGAAGAGAGAGAAGCCAUAGAUUGGAUCCGCCGUGUGUCUGAGGAGAUGGGAAAUAACAUCAGGCGUCAGGAGCAGAAAGGAGGAAGCCAGACAUGUUGGAGAACAUUUGGUGUGCAGGACACCCUGGAGAAAAACAUGUCGCUGUGGCCAAUACUCAGUCGUGGAUGCUCCUCUUCUUUCUCUUCAGAUGCCCCAGUGACACCAGGUGUUGUGUUCACUUGCAGGAAGGAUGCAGUAGAGCCCGGGCCCGCCAGCGAGAGGCGAAAAACUGCGAUUCAUUGAUACACUGAGAUACACCGGUUCGCC